rnacentral:rRNA from 1 species
GGUACCUAAAGAAUAAGCACCGGCUAACUACGUGCCAGCAGCCGCGGUAAUACGUAGGGUGCGAGCGUUAAUCGGAAUUACUGGGCGUAAAGCGAGCGCAGACGGUUAGUUAAGCAAGAUGUGAAAUCCCCGAGCUCAACUUGGGAACUGCGUUUUGAACUGGCUAGCUAGAGUGUGUCAGAGGGGGGUAGAAUUCCACGUGUAGCAGUGAAAUGCGUAGAGAUGUGGAGGAAUACCGAUGGCGAAGGCAGCCCCCUGGGAUAACACUGACGUUCAUGCUCGAAAGCGUGGGUAGCAAACAGGAUUAGAUACCCUGGUAGUCCACGCCCUAAACGAUGUCAAUUAGCUGUUGGGCAACUUGAUUGCUUAGUAGCGUAGCUAACGCGUGAAAUUGACCGCCUGGGGAGUACGGUCGCAAGAUUAAAACUCAAAGGAAUUGACGGGGACCCGCACAAGCGGUGGAUGAUGUGGAUUAAUUCGAUGCAACGCGAAGAACCUUACCUGGUCUUGACAUGUACGGAAGAGAGUAGAGAUACUCUUGUGCCUUCGGGAGCCGUAGCACAGGUGCUGCAUGGCUGUCGUCAGCUCGUGUCGUGAGAUGUUGGGUUAAGUCCCGCAACGAGCGCAACCCUUGUCAUUAGUUGCCAUCAUUAAGUUGGGCACUCUAAUGAGACUGCCGGUGACAAACCGGAGGAAGGUGGGGAUGACGUCAAGUCCUCAUGGCCCUUAUGACCAGGGCUUCACACGUCAUACAAUGGUCGGUACAGAGGGUAGCCAAGCCGCGAGGUGGAGCCAAUCCCAGAAAACCGAUCGUAGUCCGGAUUGCACUCUGCAACUCGAGUGCAUGAAGUCGGAAUCGCUAGUAAUCGCAGGUCAGCAUACUGCGGUGAAUACGUUCCCGGGUCUUGUACACACCGCCCGUCACACCAUGGGAGUGGGGGAUACCAGAAGUAGAUAGGGUAACCGCAAGGAGCCCGUUUACCACGGUAUGUUUCAUGACCUGUCUCUUAUACACAUCU